rnacentral:rRNA from 1 species
GUGGGGAGCAGUGGGGAGCAAACAGGAUUAGAUACCCUGGUAGUCCACGCCGUAAACGAUGUCUACUUGGAGGUUGUGCCCUUGAGGCGUGGCUUCCGGAGCUAACGCGUUAAGUAGACCGCCUGGGGAGUACGGCCGCAAGGUUAAAACUCAAAUGAAUUGACGGGGGCCCGCACAAGCGGUGGAGCAUGUGGUUUAAUUCGAUGCAACGCGAAGAACCUUACCUGGUCUUGACAUCCACRGAAKUYUKCAGAGAUGMGRAWGUGCCUUCGGGAACYGUGAGACAGGUGCUGCAUGGCUGUCGUCAGCUCGUGUUGUGAAAUGUUGGGUUAAGUCCCGCAACGAGCGCAACCCUUAUCCUUUGUUGCCAGCGGUUAGGCCGGGAACUCAAAGGAGACUGCCAGUGAUAAACUGGAGGAAGGUGGGGAUGACGUCAAGUCAUCAUGGCCCUUACGACCAGGGCUACACACGUGCUACAAUGGCGCAUACAAAGAGAAGCGAC